GGAAGCUCACAGUCAGAUUGAAAAGCGGCGUCGGGAUAAAAUGAACAGUUUUAUAGAUGAAUUGGCUUCUUUGGUACCAACAUGCAACGCAAUGUCCAGGAAAUUAGAUAAACUUACUGUGCUAAGGAUGGCUGUUCAGCACAUGAAAACAUUAAGAGGUGCCACCAAUCCAUACACAGAAGCAAACUACAAACCAACUUUUCUAUCAGACGAUGAAUUGAAACACCUCAUUCUCAGGGCAGCAGAUGGAUUUUUGUUUGUCGUAGGAUGUGACCGAGGGAAGAUACUCUUUGUCUCAGAGUCUGUCUUCAAGAUCCUCAACUACAGCCAGAAUGAUCUGAUUGGUCAGAGUUUGUUUGACUACCUGCAUCCUAAAGAUAUCGCCAAAGUCAAGGAGCAGCUCUCCUCCUCCGACACCGCACCCCGGGAGCGGCUCAUAGAUGCAAAAAGAUGAAGUGUAACAGGCCUUCAGUAAAGGUUGAAGACAAGGACUUCCCCUCUACCUGCUCAAAGAAAAAAGAUCGAAAAAGCUUCUGCACAAUCCACAGCACAGGCUAUUUGAAAAGCUGGCCACCCACAAAGAUGGGGCUGGAUGAAGACAACGAACCAGACAAUGAGGGGUGUAACCUCAGCUGCCUCGUCGCAAUCGGACGACUGCAUUCUCAUGUAGUUCCACAACCAGUGAACGGGGAAAUCAGGGUGAAAUCUAUGGAAUAUGUUUCUCGGCAUGCAAUAGAUGGAAAGUUUGUUUUUGUAGACCAGAG
rnacentral:sRNA from 1 species